rnacentral:rRNA from 1 species
CUUGUUGGUGAGGUAACGGCUCACCAAGGCGACGACGGGUAGCCGGCCUGAGAGGGCGACCGGCCACACUGGGACUGAGACACGGCCCAGACUCCUACGGGAGGCAGCAGUGGGGAAUAUUGCACAAUGGGCGAAAGCCUGAUGCAGCGACGCCGCGUGAGGGAUGACGGCCUUCGGGUUGUAAACCUCUUUCAGCAGGGAAGAAGCGAGAGUGACGGUACCUGCAGAAGAAGCGCCGGCUAACUACGUGCCAGCAGCCGCGGUAAUACGUAGGGCGCAAGCGUUGUCCGGAAUUAUUGGGCGUAAAGAGCUCGUAGGCGGCUUGUCACGUCGGAUGUGAAAGCCCGGGGCUUAACCCCGGGUCUGCAUUCGAUACGGGCAGGCUAGAGUUCGGUAGGGGAGAUCGGAAUUCCUGGUGUAGCGGUGAAAUGCGCAGAUAUC